GCGCAGCAGUCGAGAAUUUUUCUCAAUGGGGGCAACCCUGAAGGAGCGACGCCGCGUGGAGGAUGAAGGUCUUCGGGUUGUAAACUCCUGUCAUUUGGGAACAAGCUGCACGUAUUUACUGUACGUGUAUUGAUAGUACCAGAAGAGGAAGAGACGGCUAACUCUGUGCCAGCAGCCGCGGUAAUACAGAGGUCUCAAGCGUUGUUCGGAUUCAUUGGGCGUAAAGGAUGCGUAGGUGGCGCCGUAAGUCAGGUGUGAAAUUUCGGAGCUUAACUCCGAAACUGCAUUUGAUACUGCGGUGCUUGAGGACUGGAGAGGAGACUGGAAUUUACGGUGUAGCUGUGAAAUGCGUAGAGAUCGUAAGGAAGACCAGUGGCGAAGGCGGGUCUCUGGACAGUUCCUGACACUGAGGCACGAAGGCCAGGGGAGCAAACGGGAUUAGAUA
rnacentral:rRNA from 1 species